rnacentral:rRNA from 1 species
CGAACGCUGGCGGCGUGCUUAACACAUGCAAGUCGAACGGAAAGGCCCCUUUGGGGGUACUCGAGUGGCGAACGGGUGAGUAACACGUGAGUAACCUGCCCUUGACUUCGGGAUAACUUCAGGAAACUGGGGCUAAUACCGGAUAGGAAUCCUUGCUGCAUGGUGGGGGUUGGAAAGCUUCGGCGGUUUUGGAUGGACUCGCGGCUUAUCAGCUUGUUGGUGGGGUAGUGGCUUACCAAGGCUUUGACGGGUAGCCGGCCUGAGAGGGCGACCGGCCACAUUGGGACUGAGAUACGGCCCAGACUCCUACGGGAGGCAGCAGUGGGGAAUAUUGCACAAUGGGCGGAAGCCUGAUGCAGCAACGCCGCGUGCGGGAUGACGGCCUUCGGGUUGUAAACCGCGUUCAGCAGGGGCGAAGCUUGUGGUGACGGUACCUGCAGAAGAAGCACCGGCUAACUACGUG